UUAGCGGCGGACGGGUGAGUAACACGUGGGUAACCUGCCCAUAAGACUGGGAUAACUCCGGGAAACCGGGGCUAAUACCGGAUAACAUUUUGAACUGCAUGGUUCGAAAUUGAAAGGCGGCUUCGGCUGUCACUUAUGGAUGGACCCGCGUCGCAUUAGCUAGUUGGUGAGGUAACGGCUCACCAAGGCAACGAUGCGUAGCCGACCUGAGAGGGUGAUCGGCCACACUGGGACUGAGACACGGCCCAGACUCCUACGGGAGGCAGCAGUAGGGAAUCUUCCGCAAUGGACGAAAGUCUGACGGAGCAACGCCGCGUGAGUGAUGAAGGCUUUCGGGUCGUAAAACUCUGUUGUUAGGGAAGAACAAGUGCUAGUUGAAUAAGCUGGCACCUUGACGGUACCUAACCAGAAAGCCACGGCUAACUACGUGCCAGCAGCCGCGGUAAUACGUAGGUGGCAAGCGUUAUCCGGAAUUAUUGGGCGUAAAGCGCGCGCAGGUGGUUUCUUAAGUCUGAUGUGAAAGCCC
rnacentral:rRNA from 1 species